UACGUAGGGACCAAGCGUUGUCCGGAAUCAUUGGGCGUAAAGAGCGUGUAGGCGGUUCGGUAAGUCGGCUGUGAAAGUCCAGGGCUCAACCCUGGGAUGCCGGUCGAUACUGCCGGACUAGAGUUCGGAAGAGGCGAGUGGAAUUCCCGGUGUAGCGGUGAAAUGCGCAGAUAUCGGGAGGAACACCUAUGGCGAAGGCAGCUCGCUGGGACGUUACUGACGCUGAGACGCGAAAGCGUGGGGAGCAAACAGG
rnacentral:rRNA from 1 species